UUUGGAACUUUUUUUAAAGAGUAUAGCUGGUUUAAAAUGGAAUCCCAGCUGGGUCAUGCUGAUUUUCAGUGCCAAAAAACCCUCUAAAACCAGACAGCAGACCUGUCUGAUCAGAUUUGGAGACCAGCUAAAGCCAGCAAAAUACAUGUAAAGAAAAAAAAAGAUGCUUCUGCCAGGGUUAAUUUUUCUAACAUACAGAUGACACCAAAACUGAAAAAAACAUGGCCUAAAAAGGACAACAUUUCACACAUCAUCUUAACUGACCUCUGAAUGCUGCUGUCAGAUGAAAAUUUUGAUUUGUUUGAACCACCAAUCAAAGAUCCCAUGUUUCUUGUUGUCUGUCUCUCUCUAACGCUCUCAUUCGCAUCUUAAUUUGCUAACACACACACAUUAAUGUUAUGAUGCACUUUGCACCCAUCCCUCCUGCUGAUAUCCCUCCCUUGUCAAAUUAGCUCCUUUUGUUUAUGUGUCAUUUCCCCUGUAAAGUCGUUGGGUUCAGAUACAUUUGCGG
rnacentral:lncRNA from 1 species